GCUUACGGCCAUACCAGCCUGGGUACGCACGAUCUCGUCUGAUCUCGGAAGCUAAGCAGGGUCUGGGCCUGGUUAGUACUUGGAUGGGAGACCGCCUGGGAAUACCAGGUGCUGUAAGCA
rnacentral:rRNA from 1 species